GCGUGCAUUUAUCAGACCAAAACCGGCCGCGUCUUCGGGCGCGUUCGCCUUGGUGACUCUGGAUAACUUUGCGGAUCGCACGGUCUAGCACCGGCGACGGAUCAUUCAAGUGUCUGCCCUAUCAACUUUCGUCGGUACGGUAUUUGCCUACCGAGGUUCUUACGGGUGACGGGGAAUCAGGGUUCGAUUCCGGAGAGGGAGCCUGAGAAACGGCUACCACAUCCAAGGAAGGCAGCAGGCGCGCAAAUUACCCAUUCCCGACGCGGGGAGGUAGUGACGAAAAAUAACAAUGCAGGACUCGUUCGAGGCCCUGUAAUUGGAAUGAGUACACUUUAAAAGCUUUAACGAGUAUCCAUUGGAGGGCAAGUCUGGUGCCAGCAGCCGCGGUAAUUCCAGCUCCACAAAGUAUAUAUUUAAGUUGUUGCGGUUAAAAAGCUCGUAGUUGGAUUUUGGGCGCAGGCGGCCGGUCCGUCGCAAGGCGUGUACUGGACGUCCUGGCCUUCCCUCCGGUUCUCCGCCGGUGCUCUUGACUGAGUGUCGGCGGCGGCCGGAACGUUUACUUUGAAAAAAUUAGAGUGUUCAAAGCAGGCUCUCGAGCCUGGAUAAUGGUGCAUGGAAUAAUGGAAUAGGACCUCGGUUCUAUUUUGUUGGUUUUCGGAGCGCGAGGUAAUGA
rnacentral:ncRNA from 1 species